CGAAGGGGGCUAGCGUUGCUCGGAAUUACUGGGCGUAAAGGGCGCGUAGGCGGACAGUUUAGUCAGAGGUGAAAGCCCAGGGCUCAACCUUGGAAUUGCCUUUGAUACUGGCUGUCUUGAGUACGGGAGAGGUGUGUGGAACUCCGAGUGUAGAGGUGAAAUUCGUAGAUAUUCGGAAGGACACCAGUGGCGAAGGCGACACACUGGCCCGUUACUGACGCUGAGGCGCGAAAGCGUGGGGAGCAAACAGGAUUAGAUACCCUGGUAGUCCACGCCGUAAACGAUGAGUGCUAGUUGUCGGCAUGCAUGCAUGUCGGUGACGCAGCUAACGCAUUAAGCACUCCGCCUGGGGAGUACGGUCGCAAGAUUA
rnacentral:rRNA from 1 species